GUCCACGCCGUAAACGAUGGAUACUAGUUGUUGGAUUUUCGGAUUCAGUGACUAAGCGAAAGUGAUAAGUAUCCCACCUGGGGAGUACGAACGCAAGUUUGAAACUCAAAGGAAUUGACGGGGGCCCGCACAAGCGGUGGAGCAUGUGGUUUAAUUCGAUGAUACGCGAGGAACCUUACCAGGGCUUAAAUGUAGAUUGACAGGCGUGGAAACAUGCUUUUCUUCGGACAAUUUACAAGGUGCUGCAUGGUUGUCGU
rnacentral:rRNA from 1 species